GGAGUCACCAUUAUGAUUUCCCAGAGACUGUCAUUCAGAAGCAGCAAGGCUGUGGGAAGUGUGAAGGGCUCUGAAGGCUGACAACAAAUGCCAAGUCAGCCCAUUGACAUAAAAAGGAAGAGAAGCCUUUGGAAAAGACAUUAUUGUUUCCCAUUGGCUUACUUUCCAUCUGAAUCUGAGCACCUGACCUGAGGAAGGAGAGUGAACAUAGAAUGGCGAAUUUGUUCCAGGACAGUGAUCUGAGACUGCCGGGGGACAGGGACCACGCUGCAAAGACCAGACAGCUGGCAGUGGAGGAAUGGACACAGACAAAACCUGGAAACAACACGAACGUCUGUUAACAGGUGAAUGGAGAAAUGAAUUGCGAUGCAUUCACGCAAUGGAGUACGACUCAGCAAUAAAGGGGAACAACCUCUUUAUUUUAGAUGCAAGAACAGACCUGAAUUUCAGAAGCACUUUGGUGCUGUGGAGCAUGUUUAUGCAUGUCAUCUCUGGACUUGUGCCUUUGAACAAGAGGCUGGAGGAAUCAGCACAGUUGGCGUGCCUACACUGAGGAGAUAAAGAGGAGUUCACCCAUGGAGAACGUUGUCCAGGCUAGACCCCAGAACCAUUGGAUGAGUUAAUGAUGUUAAGGACUUAGACCUCUUGUGUGUGAAGUCUGACCAUCUUCCCUGUGUGAAGCCACCUGAAGAGUCAGAGUUGGUUCCCACCUUGGCAAAUGAGGAUGAGGACUCCUACUUCACAGGAGGCUGUGAAGAUUAAACGAGGUGGUGUGCAGAGCUCCUUGUGCAGUGUCUGGUAUGACGGGGACUCACUGAA